rnacentral:misc_RNA from 1 species
AAGCCAAAAACUCCACAGGGUUCAUGUCAAUAUCAUCGACUAUUGCAUGCUCACCUAACACGUCAUUCAUUAAUCCAGGUCUAGAAUUCCCAUUGUACGGAUGCACCUCCCUAACACUGCCAAGAAGCUGAUCACUGCUAGCAACAUGCUUGUCCCAGGGCUUAGCAGGCAAAUUCAAAUAACUAGCUGAAGUAGUAUCGUCUCCAUAAGAACUAGCAACAAAUCUCAUCUUUUCACUGAAGCUGCUACCAUUUAUAUGUCGUGGGGAUGGCUCCUGUUGCUCAGGCAAAAUGUAUCCACUACCUAAAGAGACAGGGAACUUUGUCGCUUCACUGCUGUCAUGUAAAGACAAGCCU